rnacentral:misc_RNA from 1 species
GAUGAAGAACGCAGCGAAAUGCGAUACUUGGUGUGAAUUGCAGAAUCCCGUGAACCAUCGAGUCUUUGAACGCAAGUUGCGCCCGAAGCCAUUAGGCCGAGGGCACGCCUGCCUGGGCGUCACACGUCGUUGCCCCCCCAUCUACUCCUUCGGGAUUGCGGGGGGCGGAUGAUGGCCUCCCGUGCGCCACGCCGCGCGGUUGGCAUAAAUGCCAAGUCCUCGGCGACGCACGCCACGACAAUCGGUGGUUGCGAAACCUCGGUUGCCCGUCGUGUGCGGUCGUCGCGCAUCGAGGGCUCGAAAAAAUUGCCGGGUUCCGGCUCGGCUUUCAACGCGACCCCAGGUCAGGCGGGGUUACCCGCUGAAUUUAAGCAUAUCAAUAAGCGGAA